UACAGAGGGUGCGAGCGUUGUCCGGAUUGACUGGGCGUAAAGCGCACGCAGGCGGAGGCGCGCGUGGGGUGUGAAAUCUGGCCGCUUAACGGCCAGGCGCCAUCCCAUACGGCGCCUCUGGAGGGCUGCAGAGGUCGAUGGAAUUGCCGGUGUAGUGGUGAAAUGCGUAGAGAUCGGCAGGAACACCCAGGGGGAAACCAGUCGACUGGGCAGCACCUGACGCUGAGGUGCGAGAGCGUGGGGAGCGAACCGG
rnacentral:rRNA from 1 species